rnacentral:rRNA from 1 species
CGGACGGGUGGAGUAACGACGUGGAAACCGUAGCCGUAUACUGGGGAGUAACACUUAGAAUAGGUGCUAAUACCGCAUAAGCGCACAGCUUCGCAUGAAGCGGUGUGAAAAACUACUGGUGGUAUACGAUGGUUCCGCGUCUGAUUAGCUAGUUGGUGGGGUAAUGGCCUACCAAGGCAACGAUCAGUAGCCGGCCUGAGAGGGUGAACGGCCACAUUGGGACUGAGACACGGCCCAAACUCCUACGGGAGGCAGCAG